CAGCAGCCGCGGUAAAACGGAGGGUGCAAGCGUUAAUCGGAAUUACUGGGCGUAAAGCGCACGCAGGCGGUCUGACAAGUCAGAUGUGAAAUCCCCGGGCUUAACCUGGGAACUGCAUUUGAAACUGUCAGGCUGGAGUCUUGUAGAGGGGGGUGGAAUUCCAGGUGUAGCGGUGAAAUGCGUAGAGAUCUGGAGGAAUACCGGUGGCGAAGGCGGCCCCCUGGACAAAGACUGACGCUCAGGUGCGAAAGCGUGGGGAGCAAACAGGAUUAGAUACCCCAGUAGUCCCUGUCUCUUAUAC
rnacentral:rRNA from 1 species